UCACUAAUUUUGCAUUUUAAAAUUGACUUCUCUCACAGUUGUGUCUGGUUUAUAAAUUGAUUAAUUAAUUUGUUUAAAUAAUUAUGGUGAAAAUAAUUAUAUUUUGAUGAAUCUAACAAUCUAUCUUGGUUAUUCCGAAAGAAACAAUUAAAUUGUCUCAGUAAUUCACAGUUUGCUUUCUUUCUGGUUUCAAUGCCUCCUCCUUUUGUUUUACCCUUGAAAAAAGCCACAUUUUAAUGUAGGUUAAUGACAUUGCAGUUCAUCAAUUAGGAUUGUUCAUCAAUUUUAAUGUCAACCAAAUGAUUGUAACUUGAUCUUUACAAUGGUGAUAAACUCUUCCACCAACAUAGAAUAAUCAUCAUGUACUCUAAUUGAUUUUCUUGAUAAAAGGAUUGCCUGAACAACGUUAAUUGAGGCAAAAAGAUUGGCCAAGCAAAGAAAAAUGAUUAUUUGGAGAGCAAAAAAAAGUUAUUGAAAAGAAGCAUUAAGCUUAUAAACUAGACUUGAUCAGUAUUUAAAAGGAACGUGUAAAGGAUGAAAAACAGAUGAAGUAAAAGAGGAUAUAUCGUAAAUCGAAGGCAAAACCAGAGGAAAACAAAGGCUACCAAAAGAGAGUUACUAAGAAGGGAAGAAAAUUCAAGAGGAGGAAUACGAAUAGAAGUGAAGUCUUCUGAAUUUUUGUCAUGCAAUAAUUUGAUGCAGUAUAAAAUUCAUUGUUACAUGGUUAGCUGGAUGAAUUGAUUAUAGCAGUUGUACCAGUUGUUUGCUUAUGUUCAAUUGUUGACAGAAAACAGAUCAUCAUUAUCAACAUCAACAAGCAACUAUUUACAGGAGAGGAGAGAAAAGGAGAGAAAGUCAAAGGAAAAACAAUAUCAUCAUUUGAAAUUGAAUUGAUUACCCUGAAGAAGUAUUAAUCUAAGGAUAGCUUAAUUAGAGUAAACAAUUU